rnacentral:sRNA from 1 species
AAUUGUGUGGCGGGGUCUGGAUGGAAAGGCGGGGCCCGCUGAAAGAAGGCGACCCGAGUUCUGCUACUUCCUAGUAAGGGACGUCUCUGGAGAGAUUCUGAGGUGUUUGAGCCUCUUUUGCCUACACACCGGCAGGUAAGCCAUCUCUGCCCCAGUGGGGUUCAGACCCCCCCAGGACGGGCCCUUCUCUCACUCAUUCGCCCCCUCAUUUUCCCCAGUGUCCUUCCCGCACUCAGAGGGCCUCUCUGGAGCCAGUUCCAGGCCACCCAUGGGCCUUGGCCCCGCCCCCUACUCAUGGCUGGCAGAUUCGUGGCCCCACCCAUCUCGAAGCCCCUCGGCCCAGGAACCCAGGGGAAGCUGCUGCCCUAGCAAUCCUGACCCGGACGACAGAUAUUACAACGGUGAGGAGUUCUCAUUCCCUCACCUGGCUUCAGCGCACUUCUCCCGACCUACUGGGGCAAACCGAAGGGCGCCCGGGAGCCCGGUCUCUCUGAGGUUGGUCAGUCCCUGGGGAGGAUGUGAGCUGGGGAAGCCUCUCU